AUUCACCCCCUCCUCUUAGGUUGUCUAGCUGUGCAACAUCUCGAGGUUGUGAGAGAGGCAGGAGCUCAAUAUCUGAAGGUCUUCAGUGAGUCUCAACUGAUUGUUGGACAUAUCAAGGGCAGAUACAAGACCUGAGAAAAAAAUAUGAAGCAAUAUCUUUAGAAGGUAUAAUAUUUGACCUUAUCCUUUUUGAGUUUUGACAUUUAACAGGUCCUCAGAGUGGAAAAUAUUAGGGCAG
rnacentral:lncRNA from 1 species